UUGUCAGCCCUGGAGACUGAGGUCUGCCAUUUGUCCACAGAACAGAUAUAGCAGGGGCAGGAUAGGCCAGCCUUCCCUACUGUGCAUCCUGACCUGCAGACUGAGAGGCCAAGCCAGUCUCUGCAGACCUCCUCCAUCUUCAUCCCCUCUGCUGAG
rnacentral:sRNA from 1 species